rnacentral:rRNA from 1 species
GCCAGUGGUGAUAGCAAAUUGAAACCAGUUCACAAUGGAUCACUGAAGUUGAGCUACAUAGCACAUGGUUAAUGUCUGGAUGGGUGACCAUGUGAACAAUCACUUGUUGCUGGCU